GACGCGGUGGCCUAAUGGUUAGCGCGCUGGACUCGCCGAACCGAGCGGUCCGGGUUUGAGCCCUGGCCGGGGUCA